UACGUAGGGUGCAAGCGUUGUCCGGAAUUAUUGGGCGUAAAGAGCUCGUAGGCGGUCUGUCGCGUCUGCUGUGAAAACUCAGGGCUUAACCCUGAGCUUGCAGUGGGUACGGGCAGACUAGAGUGCGGUAGGGGAGACUGGAAUUCCUGGUGUAGCGGUGAAAUGCGCAGAUAUCAGGAGGAACACCAGUGGCGAAGGCGGGUCUCUGGGCCGUAACUGACGCUGAGGAGCGAAAGCAUGGGGAGCGAACAGG
rnacentral:rRNA from 1 species